GCUCAUCACAUCCUGGGGCUGAAGUAGGUCCCAAGGGUAUGGCUGUUCGCCAUUUAAAGUGGUACGCGAGCUGGGUUUAGAACGUCGUGAGACAGUUCGGUCCCUAUCUGCCGUGGGCGCUGGAGAACUGAGGGGGGCUGCUCCUAGUACGAGAGGACCGGAGUGGACGCAUCACUGGUGUUCGGGUUGUCAUGCCAAUGGCACUGCCCGGUAGCUAAAUGCGGAAGAGAUAAGUGCUGAACGCAUCUAAGCACG
rnacentral:rRNA from 1 species